AAUCAACGCUGGCGGCGUGCCUCAGACAUGCAAGUCGAACGCGAAAUUUCCCUUCGGGGAGAAAGUAGAGUGGCGCACGGGUGAGUAACACGUAGGUAAUUUGCCUUUGGGUGGGGAAUAACUCAGGGAAACUUGAGCUAAUACCGCAUAAUGCAGCGGCUCGACAUCGAGACAGUUGUUAAAGCGGGGGAUUGGAGCAAUCCGACCUCGCGCCUAAAGAGAAGCCUGCGGCAGAUUAGCUAGUUGGUAAGGUAAUGGCUUACCAAGGCGACGAUCUGUAACCGGCCUGAGAGGGCGGUCGGUCACACUGACACUGACAUACGGGUCAGACUCCUACGGGAGGCAGCAGUCGGGAAUUUUGGGCAAUGGGCGCAAGCCUGACCCAGCAACGCCGCGUGAAGGAUGAAAUUUUUCGGAAUGUAAACUUCGCAAGAACAGGAAGAAUAAGUGUGGGACAAUACCCCACAUGAUGACGGUACUGUUUGUAAGCUCCGGCUAACUCCGUGCCAGCC
rnacentral:rRNA from 1 species